rnacentral:misc_RNA from 1 species
AAAUGCGAUAAGUAAUGUGAAUUGCAGAAUUCAGUGAAUCAUCGAAUCUUUGAACGCACCUUGCGCUCCUUGGUAUUCCUUGGAGCAUGCCUGUUUGAGUAUCAUGAAAUCUUCAAAGUAAAUCUUUUGUUAACUCAAUUGGUUUCUACUUUGGUAUUGGAGGUCUUUGCAGCUCCACACCUGCUCCUCUUUGUUCAUUAGCUGGAUCUCAGUGUUAUGCUUGGUUCCACUCGGCGUGAUAAGUUAUCUAUCGCUGAGGACACUGUAAAAGGUGGCCAAGGUAAAUGCAGAUGAACCGCUUCUAAUAGUCCAUUGACUUGGACAAUACUUUUAUGAUCUGAUCUCAAAUCAGGUAGGACUACCCGCUGAACUUAAGC